ensembl:processed_transcript 1700001G11Rik RIKEN cDNA 1700001G11 gene
AGGGCCCGGCUCCAUCGCAGGAGCAGCCGCCGUCACCACCACCGGUGUCGCCGCCUUCAUGCCUAGCCUGCGGGCGUUGUCCCUGCUGAAGAUCUGGGAGCUUAAGGCGGCUCCAACCAAUCACGGAUGGGCUUUGAGGGCGUGGACCCUCCCACUUCCGUCUUGCGCGGGGUCUCCCAGAGGAGGUGUGGUCCGCGAUCUCCGUUAGCUCCAAGGCGGAAGGAUCUGUCGUCCCACUGCAGUGUCGGGUUUCCGUUGUCAAAUAGGAAGUGAAGCCACGGGCCGCCAUCCUUAAGCAGUUCCCGCUAUCUCAGACUCCUGAACCACAGACGGGAUGGUUUAUAAAGAAUAGAGGUUCCAGAGGCAGGGAUAUUCAAGAACUGUGUGCUAGCCUUCCUGCUGCAUCUUGAUGCGAUAGAGAGAGUCACAUGCCCAGACAGACAAGCCUGCCUGCUCAGAUCUCACUUCUUCCUGUAAAGCCACUGGUGGUGUUUAUGGAAAGUCCAUGCUGGAAUAGAGCUAACAAGGACUGGGCUCUGCCCUCAUCGCCUCAUUUGAAGAACCUCCUUCUACAAGCCUCAUUUCAAUUAGCAACUCCAAUUUAAGGAUUGAGUUUCCAAGGCAUGGACUUUUGGGUGUCUGCUGAAACCCUGGCAAGAAGGACGGCAUGCCUACCUCCCUUCUAGCCUCCCCUCCUCUUUCUCUCUCCUCCUUUCUGUUUAAAGCAGAAAUCAAGGAAUAAAAGCAAGGAUUGUUCUAUGGC